CAGAGUCACUGCUCCCUGGAGGAAGUUAAUUAAUGCCUCAGUAUUUACCAAGUGUCUGCUGGGGCAGCAUGGAGCUGGGGCAUGGAACCGCUGGGGACCUGGGCUCCCAUCAAACCCCAGGUGGUGUCAGCCCUCCAUCAGAGCAGUUAACACUUCACAAGUGCACAUAUGUCUGUGGACACCUUCUGGUCACCCGGGCUUGGUGGCAGGGGACAUGGUUAGGAAGGCCCCUGAUCCACAGUGGGAUUUGCCCUGUUGGCUCCCGGGGGUUAACUUGGGGAAGGGGUCCAUAGGCAAAAAACUGUAUUGGGGUGUUGUGUUGGAGGAAGUGGGAGAGAAACUUGGAAUUCACACAUUCAUUCAUUUUUCAUUUGCCUGAGAGAUACUUCCAGAAUCCUUCUCUGGAGUCCCUGGGAAUGGGUCAGGGAACAAGAUGUGAUUCUGCCUUCAGAAGGCCACGAUUCAGAGGGAAGCAGACAAGCUAGAUAGACCAGAAAAUACUGAGAGCUAAGUCUGUGAUUGGAAGGACAGGGCUGGAGGAGGGCAGGUCCAAGGUCCAAGGCUGGUCUGGGAAGUGAGAAGCUGAGACCUGGAGACCAGGAAGAGGGGGGAUCUUCUAGCAGCGAGAACAGCAACGAAGGGGCCCAGCCAAAGGCCGGGUCCACAGUGGGCCCUGACCUGUGGCAUGAGUGAAUCAAUGAACCUAAGGAUGCAGACAACAUUGCUAGUUUGAAGGGCCCUGGAGACCAGAUUGACCCCCAGCCUCAAUUUCCAGAUGGGUAAACUGAGGUCUGGAGAAGAGGAGGGAUGUGCUCUGUGUUCAAGACAUGGGACCACAGCUGGGGUUGGAAAUCAGACGUCUCACCUCCGGGUCCUGCCUCUAGCUGCCCUAGUGCACUGUGUCUCUGGCUGGGAGUGUGGCUUGUUCCAGAGGGGUGGGGACCGAAACCCAGGGCUUCGGGCAGUGGCAGGGAAGGCAGAGGGUGUGGCUGGCCACAGGGGUCACUGUUGAGUCUUCUCUUUCUUAGGCUGAGGAGCCAGUGGCGCUGUAGCUGGUGGACACUGGGGAACGAGGCUAGGGCUGCGGAUCUGGGGUAGCCUCCGCUGGCCCCACAGAACUUGCUCCCUGUCACUGGCCCGGGUGGAGGUUAAUGACCCCCGCCCUUCGCUGUUGUCUGUGUUUUCCUAGCAUAGUCCUGGGCAAUAGGCCUAGUGCCCAGAAAGCCACUGUGGCCCUGGCUUCAAGGACCUUAAGUGUAAUGAGAAAGACUGACAGUGGUUUGGCUCUUCUUGGAGCUCUCGCUCUUACCAGGCACUGGACCAAGUCUCCCUGAAUUUCCACACCAACCUUUGAGGCAGGUUCAGUUAUAAUUCCCAUUUCAUGGAUGGAGCAACCGAGGCACAGAGAGCUUGGGAGCCGGCUCAGGUGUCUCUCCCUCCAGGAAGUGGGGCUUGUGCCCUUUGGAUACCUGCACUCCCCAUCACCGCACUCCCCAUCGUGGCACUUCCCUUGUUGCAGUUUUAUGGAGUGUGCGUCUGGCUCUCCAACUAGACUUGAACCGCUUGAGUGCAUAACUCGGGACUUGACCAUUUGCGUCUCCCUACGGCCAGCUCAGCCUCCGCACACAGGGACCUGCAGAGAGUGGAUGUAGCCACUGCCCCAGCGUCCCUGGGCUCUGAAGAGAAGCCAUUGCCCUUCAAGAGCCACCCUCAUUUCCUGGGCACUGGUUGGAAAAAACGAAGAAAAAGAGACACCCAGCUCACCUCCAAGUUUGCCUGCAGGUGAAUAUCUUGUUGAAAGAGAGGGGACUCCCUGAGUCUUGCUGGGUUGAGGAAGCUGAUUGGAUUUCCGGACUCAGAGGAGGGCUGCAGAGAGGGAGGAAUGGGGGGGAUGGGCAGCUGGCUUUCUGGAUGGGUGCAGGACAAUGACAUUGAUGGGGAAGCUUGGGGUGGCUCUGCCGUUGCCCACUGCUUGGCUGGUGAACUUGCUACAUCUUGGCCAGCACUAUCCUCUUCUGGCCUGCACCCUGCCAGACACAGGCAGUACCCCAAAUACCCUGUCCCUGUGCCCCGAAGUCUCCAUGACCUUCAGAUCCCAAGGGACAAGUGGCUCCACGAGGCAGGGCCUGUCCCUCUGGCUCACACUAUGGAGUCCACAGAACCUAGCCCGGAGCCUAGUGCACAGUAGGUGCUCAAUGUAUUCUAUUUGAAUGUUGCAUGAGUGAAUAAAUGCAGGAAUGUCAGGCUGGAAAA